rnacentral:rRNA from 1 species
ACUCAAAGGAAUUGACGGGGGCCCGCACAAGCGGUGGAGCAUGUUGUUUAAUACGUCAUUAACCGUAGAACCUUACCAGGGUUUGACAUCCGCUGCCAUCCUAUGAAAGUAGGCUUCCCCGCAAGGGGACAGCGAGACAGGUGUUGCAUGGCUGUCGUCAGCUCGUGUCGUGAGAUGUUGGGUUAAGUCCCGCAACGAGCGCAACCCUCAUCCCAUGUUGCCAUCGGGUAAAGCCGGGAACUCUUGGGAAACUGCCGGGGUAACUCGGAGGAAGGUGAGGAUGACGUCAAGUCAGCAUGGCCCUUACACCCUGGGCUACAAACAUGCUACAAUGGACGGUAAACAGAGGGAUCCGAGACCGUGAGGUGGAGGCAAUCUCAGAAAUCCGUUCUCAGUUCGGAUUGCAGGCUGCAACUCGCCUGCAUGAAGCCGGAAUCGCUAGUAAACGCAGGUCAGCUAAACUGCGUUGAAUACGUUCCCGGGCCUUGUACACACCGCCCGU